rnacentral:tRNA from 1 species
GCAGCUCAGUGAUAGAGCCCUUGCCUAGCAUGCAUGAGGUCCUGAGUUCAAUUCCCAAGAACG